GACAGAGGGUGCAACGUUGUUCGGAAUUACUGGGCGUAAAGCGUGUGUAGGCGGCUAGGUAAGUCGGAUGUGAAAGCCCCGGGCUCAACUCGGGAAGUGCACUCGAUACUGCUUAGCUCGAGUACCGGAGAGGUUGGUGGAAUUCUCGGUGUAGAGGUGAAAUUCGUAGAUAUUGGGAAGAACACCGGUGGCGAAGGCGGUCUGCUGGGCCAAGACUGACGCUGAGGCGCGACAGCGUGGGGAGCAACAGG
rnacentral:rRNA from 1 species